rnacentral:lncRNA from 1 species
CCUUCCCGCCCGCGCUCGCUGCCGGAAGAGCGCUGCGUCGCGGGCACGCAUGCGCCCUGCCCAGAGCAGCAUGACAGCUGGUCGGGCGCAUUUCUCUGCGGCGGCGGGGCCUCUGUCAGCUAACAAAUAAAGAAGAUGGAACAGCCUGUCCACACAGGAGAGCUGAUAUACGGCUUGCCUCCAACAGUCAGUAUUACCGCGGUGUAUUGUGUUUCACCGGCAGCGAUAUAUUCAAGAAGAACAUGAGAACUCCUGCACUCCUGGAGACCACGGGAUCCACGCUCUGGGCUGGUCAUUUUAGGCCUUUGUGCAGAGUUUUCUUUCCGGUCACACGCCCUGCGUGAGCCUGUCCUUCAACU